rnacentral:rRNA from 1 species
CCUACGGGAGCUGCAGUGGGGAAUACUGCACAAUGGGCGCAAGCCUGAUGCAGCCAUGCCGCGUGUGUGAAGAAGGCCUUCGGGUUGUAAAGCACUUUCAGCGGGGAGGAAGGCGUUAAGGUUAAUAACCUUGGCGAUUGACGUUACCCGCAGAAGAAGCACCGGCUAACUCCGUGCCAGCAGCCGCGGUAGUACGGAGGGUGCAAGCGUUAAUCGGAAUUACUGGGCGUAAAGCGCACGCAGGCGGUCUGUCAAGUCGGAUGUGAAAUCCCCGGGCUCAACCUGGGAACUGCAUUCGAAACUGGCAGGCUAGAGUCUUGUAGAGGGGGGUAGAAUUCCAGGUGUAGCGGUGAAAUGCGUAGAGAUCUGGAGGAAUACCGGUGGCGAAGGCGGCCCCCUGGACAAAGACUGACGCUCAGGUGCGAAAGCGUGGGGAGCAAACAGGAUUAGAUACCCUAGUAGUC